rnacentral:rRNA from 1 species
GUGCAGCAGUCGAGAAACCUCCGCAAUGCUCGAAAGAGCGACGGGGGGACUCCAAGUGCCUACGCUUUGCGUAGGCUUUUCCCAAGCCUAAAAAGCUUGGGGAAUAAGGGCUGGGUAAGACGGGUGCCAGCCGCCGCGGUAAUACCCGCAGCCCCGAGUGGUGGCCGCUUUUAUUGGGCCUAAAGCGUCCGUAGCCGGUCUGGUAAAUGCCUGGGUAAAUCGUCUGGCUCAACCAGACGAAUUCCGGGUAGACUGCCAGACUAGGGACCGGAGGAAGGAGAGGGUACUCCGGGGGUAGGGGUGAAAUCAGCAAGGUGAGUUGUUGAUGUAACUUGCUUUGCAAGUCACAAUCCUGUAAUCCUCGGAGGACCACCGGUGGCGAAGGCUCUCUCCUAGGACGGGUCCGACGUGAGGGACGAAAGCCAGGGGAGCAGACCGGAUUAGAUACCCGCGUAGU